UCCAGACUCCUACGGGAGGCAGCAGUGGGGGAUAUUGCACAAUGGGGGGAACCCUGAUGCAGCGACGCCGCGUGGGUGAAGAAGCGCCUCGGCGCGUAAAGCUCUCUCAGCAGGGAAGAAAAUGACGGUACCUGACUAAGAAGCCCCGGCUAACUACGUGCCAGCAGCCGCGGUAAUACGUAGGGGGCAAGCGUUAUCCGGAUUUACUGGGUGUAAAGGGAGCGUAGACGGCGGUGCAAGCCAGAUGUGAAAGCCCGGGGCUCAACCCCGGGACUGCAUUUGGAACUGUGCUGCUAGAGUGUCGGAGAGGCAGGCGGAAUUCCUAGUGUAGCGGUGAAAUGCGUAGAUAUUAGGAGGAACACCAGUGGCGAAGGCGGCUUACUGGACUGUAACUGACGUUGAGGCUCGAAAGCGUGGGGAGCAAACAGGAUUAGAUACCCCAGUA
rnacentral:rRNA from 1 species